rnacentral:rRNA from 1 species
UACGUAGGUGGCAAGCGUUGUCCGGAAUUAUUGGGCGUAAAGCGCGCGCAGGUGGUUCCUUAAGUCUGAUGUGAAAGCCCACGGCUCAACCGUGGAGGGUCAUUGGAAACUGGGGAACUUGAGUGCAGAAGAGGAAAGUGGAAUUCCAAGUGUAGCGGUGAAAUGCGUAGAUAUCUGGAGGAACACCGGUGGCGAAGGCGGCAUCCUGGACCGGCAUUGACGCUGAGGCGCGAAAGCCAGGGGAGCCAAAGCGGG